ensembl:lncRNA
GAAACCUAAGGCUAUGAAAGAAUGCACCACGUCUGCCAACUUUCGGAUGGAAGCCAACUCCCGCAUUACGGCGUCCAGGUGCUCGACACUGACAGUGGGUGGACUCUGAAGGGGGGGGGGGGCUCAGGUUGAUAUACUACUACACCUCACCUGAAUGAGACAGAUACCCAGGAGAAGCUCGACACCACUCCGCUCUGACAGCUGACCUCAACAGGUUGAACAUCUGAAGAAACACCAGCAUCAUGUCGGAGGAGGUUAACAGAAACAAAGUGUUUAAAACUACCAGGGUGCGGACUUUACUGAAAAAGGAUGGCUGUUGGAUCCAGAGUCAGAAGUCAAACAAGGAGAAAGAAGGAGCAAGGAAAGGCCAUGAUGUGGAGACGUCCUCAGUCCCGCGGCAUACAUCCGUCCAGUCCUUAGCAAAGAAGUUUGAGCCGCAAGCACCCACAGAAGAAAUUAUCCAAAAUGACACCCAAUCAGAAGAAAGAUGUGCCAACAUGACUGCCGACGUCUCUGCAGAAGUUCAUGUUACAGAAGAAAUCCAAAAUGGUGAACCACAUGAAAUUCCUUCAACAAAGAGAAAUCCAGAAGCAGUUUCUCCCGUGCAACCAGCUGAGCAGGCAGUUGCCAACACAACUACAGAAAACAAGGGAGAACAAACUAAUAAAACAGUUGAGCAGUCAAACCAAGAACACAGUGAGGCCAAGGUCUCAGCCAAUGCCCAUGUGCAAGACCCUGAGGCAGAAACCUGUGUAGCUCCUGCAGUCAAACCUAAACCCAAAGAGGAACCUGCAACCAAAACAGAGCAGGACAUUGCAACACAAUUAGAACAUGCAGAAGUACAAUCAACUGUGCAGCUUGCAGAGGGAAAUUGUAUGAAAGGUCCUCCAAAACAGGGUGCAGGAGAAAUUGUAGAAGCUAAAGCUGAGGUUGCUGUGGCUCCAUCACCUGAGAUAAGUGACGUUGUUGAUGCAACACUUGUAAAAGUCGCUGAGAUUGUGACAAAGCCCUCAUCGAACACGACCAACGCGUUGGAGACCACACCUGGAAACAAAGCCGCGCUAGAGAUCAGUGUGGAACCAGUGCCUGACUUAUUGGCAGAACCUGAAUCUGAGGGGCCCUCUCAACGCGUUACUGAAACUGCUCCAGCGGGGAAUCGUGAGAAAGGUCCUCCAGAACAAGCUGCAGCAGAAAUUGUCAAAGCUAAAGCUGAGGUUGCUGUGGCGCCAUCCCCUGAGAUAAGGGACGUUGUUGAUGCAACACUUGUAAAAGAGGUUGUCCUUGAAGAGAGCGCCGAAGCUGUCGCUGAGAUUGUGACAAAGCCNNNNNNNNNNUUCAUCGAACACGACCAACGCGUUGGAGACCACACCUGGAAACAAAGCCGCGCUAGAGAUCAGUGUGGAACCAGUGCCUGA